rnacentral:rRNA from 1 species
ACGGGAAACCGGAGACUAAUACCGGAUAAGAUAUCGAACCGCAUGGUUCGAUAGUGAAAGAUGGUUUUGCUAUCACUUAUAGAUGGACCCGCGCCGUAUUAGCUAGUUGGUGAGGUAACGGGCUCACCAAGGCAACGAUACGUAGCCGACCUGAGAGGGUGAUCGGCCACACUGGAACUGAGACACGGUCCAGACUCCUACGGGAGGCAGCAGAC